CCUACGGGUGGCAGCAGUGGGGAAUAUUGGACAAUGGGCGCAAGCCUGAUCCAGCAAUACCGCGUGUGUGAAGAAGGCCUGAGGGUUGUAAAGCACUUUUAAUCGGGAGGAAUAGCGGUCGGUUAAUACCCGGUCGUCUGACAUUACCGAUAGAAAAAGCACCGGCUAACUCCGUGCCAGCAGCCGCGGUAAUACGGAGGGUGCUUGCGUUGCGCGGAAUUAGCGGGGGUGGAUGGUUAAGAGGCAUGUGAAAGCCCCGGGCUUAACCUGGGAACGGCAUUUGAAACUGAUCGACUGGAGUUGGGUAGAGGGGAGUGGAAUUUCAGGUGUAGCGGUGAAAUGCGUAGAUAUCUGAAGGAACACCAGUGGCGAAGGCGGCUCCCUGGACCCAAACUGACGCUGAGGCACGAAAGCGUGGGUAGCAAACAGGAUUAGAUACCCCUGUAGUC
rnacentral:rRNA from 1 species